CCAAAAAUUGGUAACAGGAGGAGCUUGAGUUUGUUGUCUCCUACAGAAGCUGCUGCCACUAGUUUCUGACCAAGCUUCCGUUAACUUUUAGCCAUGGCUCCGGUGAUGGUGUAUCUAAGAUUAAGAAGUUAAAUCUGUAAUAACUCGGAGAAGGAGUAUGUGAAUGAAUUGGAUCGUAAUUCGAGCAUAACUUCAACUGUGCCGCUGUUGAUUGACGAUGAAGAACCAAGAUUAUACGCAAUUUCAGCAGCAUCCUUGGUAGUUCGACACGGUGAAUCCUUGGAGUUUGCAAUAAAAACUGCCCUCUUUGUAGAAGAACAAAGUUGGACUGGAAAGACAGCACCACGUCAACCAAUUUGUACAUGUCAGCUGUCCUUGAUUGCGUCUCGUUCUAUAUGAGCGUCUUUGCACCCCCUUUCACAACCCACAACUGAAUUUUGCUACCUCCUUCAGUAAGUAAUUACAUCCUUCCUUUUGUUGUUCUCAAGUUUUCUUUUUGUUUUUAUUAAAGCAAGAGCUUACUCAUAUCUUCACUCCUGCUUCGAAGCUACCAGGUAACUCGAGCACUGUCUCUGCACCUUUAUAUUAGUUCUUUCUUUCGAAAAUUAUAUAUUUACUAGUCUUUGAUCACUUUACAAGACUUGCUUUUCUUAUAACUUUACUUGAUUAUCAUCAGUAAGUCCAUUAACUCGUCAUCACCUUCCACAAAAGAAACUUUGCAUGAUCGACCAUAACAUGCAAUCAAAUUAGAUUCCUCAGCAGAUGAACCACAAGAACCGCGUCGCGAUCCUUGAUAACAUCCUCAAUGACCUCUUAACUGAUGAGCCUUUAGGAUCUUUCAAUGGUCUAUAGGAAGACCGAAGACAGCUUCCUUCAACAGUGAACACUCAAAGUUCUUGGUUUUCUCUUUAAUAGAAAAUGUUCCAAGCUCUUUACUUUUCUCUUUAAUAGAAAAUAUUUUUGUAUAUA